rnacentral:rRNA from 1 species
AGGUUUGAUCCUGGCUCAGAUUGAACGCUGGCGGCAGGCCUAACACAUGCAAGUCGAGCGGUAACAGGGAAAGCUUGCUUUCUGCUGACGAGCGGCGGACGGGUGCGUAACACGUAGGAAUCUGCCUGAUAGUGGGGGAUAGCCCGGAGAAAUCCGGAUUAAUACCGCAUACGCCCUAAGGGGGAAAGGAGGGGACCCAUUUCUUUUAUUAGGAGUGAGCCUUUCGCUAUCAGAUGAGCCUGCGUCGGAUUAGCUUGUUGGUGGGGUAAAGGCCUACCAAGGCGACGAUCCGUAGCUGGUCUGAGAGGAUGAUCAGCCACACUGGGACUGAGACACGGCCCAGACUCCUACGGGAGGCAGCAGUGGGGAAUAUUGCACAAUGGGCGAAAGCCUGAUGCAGCCAUGCCGCGUGUGUGAAGAAGGCCUUAGGGUUGUAAAGCACUUUCAGCGAGGAGGAAAGGUUGUUAGUUAAUACCUGACAGCUGUGACGUUACUCGCAGAAGAAGCACCGGCUAACUCCGUGCCAGCAGCCGCGGUAAUACGGAGGGUGCGAGCGUUAAUCGGAAUUACUGGGCGUAAAGCGUGCGUAGGCGGCUACUUAAGUUGGAUGUGAAAGCCCCGGGCUCAACCUGGGAACUGCAUCCAAAACUGAGUGGCUAGAGUGCGAGAGAGGAGUGUGGAAUUUCCUGUGUAGCGGUGAAAUGCGUAGAUAUAGGAAGGAACACCAGUGGCGAAGGCGACACUCUGGCUUGACACUGACGCUGAGGUACGAAAGCGUGGGGAGCAAACAGGAUUAGAUACCCUGAUAGUCCACGCCGUAAACGAUGUCUACUAGUUGUCCGUUGUCUUGUACGAUGGGUAACGAAGCUAACGCGAU